rnacentral:rRNA from 1 species
GAUGAACGCUGGCGGCGUGCCUAAUACAUGCAAGUCGAGCGAACGGACGAGAAGCUUGCUUUUCUGAUGUUAGCGGCGGACGGGUGAGUAACACGUGGAUAACCUACCUAUAAGACUGGGAUAACUUCGGGAAACCGGAGCUAAUACCGGAUAAUAUUUUGAACCGCAUGGUUCAAAAGGGAAAGACGGUCUUGCUGUCACUUAUAGAUGGAUCCGCGCUGCAUUAGCUAGUUGGUAAGGUAACGGCUUACCAAGGCAACGAUGCAUAGCCGACCUGAGAGGGUGAUCGGCCACACUGGAACUGAGACACGGUCCAGACUCCUACGGGAGGCAGCAGUAGGGAAUCUUCCGCAAUGGGCGAAAGCCUGACGGAGCAACGCCGCGUGAGUGAUGAAGGUCUUCGGAUCGUAAAACUCUGUUAUUAGGGAAGAACAUAUGUGUAAGUAACUGUGCACAUCUUGACGGUACCUAAUCAGAAAGCCACGGCUAACUACGUG